rnacentral:rRNA from 1 species
AGCUCCAAUAGCGUAUAUUAAAGUUGCUGCAGUUAAAAAGCUCGUAGUUGGAUUUCUGGUUUGAACGUCCGGUCCGCUUGUGAUUCGCUCAUGAGUGCGUACUAUGGAUGUUUGAGCCAUCUUUUGUGAGGAAAUUUCUCUGCCAUUAAGUUGGUGGUUUAAUGGACUUGCAUCGUUUACUGUGAAAAAAUUAGAGUGUUUAAAGCAGGCGUUUCCGCUCAUUUGAAUACAUUAGCAUGGAAUAAUAAGAUACGACUUUGGUGGUCUAUUUUGUUGGUUUGCACACCAGAGUAAUGAUUAAUAGGGACAGUUGGGGGUAUUCAUAUUUCAGCGUCAGAGGUGAAAUUCUUGGAUCGCUGAAAGAUGAGCUUAGGCGAAAGCAUUUACCAAGGAUGUUUUC